AUAUUUGACAAUGGUCGAAAGCCUGAUCCAGCCAUGCCGCGUAUGUGAAGAAGGUCAUCGGCUUGUAAAGCAAGUUACGUUAGAAGACAGGGUAUUCAGAUACUACCUUGCUGUUUUGCCGUUACCGACAGACUAAGCAACGUCUAACUUCGUAACAGCAGGCGCGGUAAUCCGAAGGGUGCAAGCGUUAAUCGGAAUUACUGGGCGUAAAGCGCGCGUAGGUGGUUUGUUAAGUUGGAAGUGAAAGCCCCGGGCUCAACCUGGGAACUGCUUUCAAAACUGGCAAGCUAGAGUAUGGCAGAGGGUGGUGGAGUUUCCUGUGUAGCGGUGAAAUGCGUAGAUAUAGGAAGGAACACCAGUGGCGAAGGCGACCACCUGGGCUAAUACUGACACUGAGGUGCGAAAGCGUGGGGAGCAAAC
rnacentral:rRNA from 1 species